UUACGGCCAUAUCACAGUAAAAAUCCGGUUCUCGUAAGAUCACCAAAAUUAAGCAACGUCGAACCUAGUCAGUAUCUAGAUGGGUAACCGCUUGGGAAUAUUAUGUGCUGUAA